rnacentral:tRNA from 1 species
GGGCUUGUAGCUCAGCGGUAGAGCAGGGGACUCAUAAUCCCUUGGUCGUAGGUUCGAUCCCUACCGGGCCCA